GUACGCGACGACGUCCGACGAGCGAGUGGAGCUACGGCCAAUACCCCCACCACAGCUCUCCGUACCGCGCGACGCGUUCACGGAGCGUCUGUCGGGUAGAGGGGGGGAAACACAGAGCCGAACGAAGCCGAGCGCGAUCGAGCUCGGCAGUAGAGCACUGUAGUGGGAGCAGUACAGAAGGGAAAGAGUGCGGUAGGGGAGUCGCGCGCCGUUAACGCCGCCUGGUGGGGUUAACGUCAGGGGCGUGAGCGAAGAAGGGGCGUCCCAGCGAGAGGGACAGAGAGACGGAGAUAGAGAGUGAAAAAGAGAAAGAGAGUUCUCUUAGCCUGCUCUAUACACCACCUCCGGCGGUACGUUGAGCUCCACGCGACUUCACGAGUGAAACAUUUCGCGGGUUUCGCGGGGAGCUUUUCCGCAAGACUCGCUGGUGGGAGGUUGAAGGUGGUGGAGGAGCGAAGGAAGGACAACGGUAUUCCCGUUAAUUGAACGACUCUCUCGCGUGGGGAAGGAGGUACCUGGAAGGGAGACGCGACACUCUCUACUCCGGAUCGAGAAGAGGGAGAAGGAUUACUCGCAGACCUAACCACCAGCUCAACCAGUUACCGCGGUUCAACUUUGCUGUUUUUCUUAGCUAGUAGAUGCGACUCUAGAUAAGAGUUUUGACAAGUGCGCCUGCGACCGUCUAUGGGGUGCCGACUAAACGACGAGCCAUGGCUUGAGGAACUCAGGGAGAGGCACGUACGAGUUAGUAAUGAACGAAGAGGAGACCAGAAAGUCGAUAGAUAUGCGAGAAGUGUUAUAAAUUUCCUGCGGAAACCUCUGAUUUUUAGUGGCAAUGAUUUUGCAGACGGACAUGACAUCCGCCUACGCUAGGCUACCAUGUAAGACAUGUAUUCUUUUGGCUUGUCAUUUUGGAUUAAAAAUUGAUUACUUCAAUUGGAAUCGCAUCGCGCUUUGACGCGUGUCGGACCGAAGAGAGGUAUGCUCGUUUCGUUCCAUCUCUUGGCAGAUUAAAGGCAAUCUUAUCACAUAGAAUGACGAGGUCGUGUGAUCGAUCACAAAAAGUAUGCAACGGAACUAUCGCGUCUCUAAGAGAAUAGACAAAGACGGACAUGUUCGAGGAACGGACCACCCGUUGAGAAUGAGGAAUGUGGAACUGUACCAGCAGGGACGGAGAUCAGUCUCUCUCUCUACAGUUUUGCUCUUCUACACAUUUCGAAUCAAAUUUAUUUCGACCAUGCCCUAUCUAUGAUACCUGUCCUUCAAAAUGACUCGAUAAUUUUACGAUUAAUCUUUUUUAAUAAUUCACACUUUUAAAGUAUUUUUAUUAUUUAAAAAGAAUGUAGAAUACGAAUAAAGUCUGUACGGAUGAUAGAUAAAUAAAUAACGCGAUAUGUACAUUCGUAGGAAUGAAAUUUUUCCUUUUACGAAAUCGCGUUCCUUCCGGGGCUCCCAGAAGUUGUUCCACAGUCCCUGGUCUCUCGUUCCGUAUGGUCUAUCCUAUUAUAAUGUCGACCAUGCACGUCUGUCGUCCGUAUGAUCUCCAGAGAGAUGGAAGAGUGUAAAACGUCGGGCAUCUGGGCAGAGAAAACGAUAGAGAAAGAGGAGGAGAGAGAUAGAGAUAGACAGUUUAGCUGGGCAUUGUGAGGAGACAAAUACGAGUUAAUACAUCAUCCAGGGACCUAUUCAAGCUCCAGGAACGACGUGAGUGGUGAUCACGAAUUGGUUGGUGUAUAAAUACCUUUUAAUUGCUAUCUCUCUUCUUCUCCCUGCCGGCCCUCGUUAUUCUUGUCUCUUUCUAUAUCUUUCUCUUUCAGCCACCUUCAUUGCGACGAGGAAACCCAGACGAUGAGAAAGUAUGACACAGAGAACAAGACUAAAAGAAGAAUUCUUUCCUUCUUGAUUAUCUUUAAAGUUCAUCAACCGCGGUGUUAUUCGGAUAAGGUUGAAACAAAAAUAAUUCUUCUUUUUUUUCAACGAAUAAUCCUGAUGAUUUUGGAACAUCAAGAGUUUUUUUAUAUCCUAACUUUAAGUUUAAAUUUAUUGAAAAGAGACAGACAGAUAUAAAAAUAACAAUUAAUUUGUUUCGCAAUCCAAUCACCGAUACCUUUUAUCAAUGGGAUGACUUUCUUGGUUAAGAUAUUACGAAGCAAGUAACGUGUAUAGAGCAUUGAUAGAUGGAUUAAACUAAUUCGAACAUUACAAACAAACUUUAGCAAGGGCUUGUUUAAAGUUGUGUUAUUCAAGGCGCUAUACUCCAAUUAUGUGUACCGAAGCACUUUGAUCAUAGUCAUCCUCCGUGUUUAUCAUGAAGAUACCUCGAAGCAUUGGCAGCGAUCUUGGUGGAUUCUCUUUUGUAAUUUCUUGGGUCUUACAGAUUAUUUAUAGUUACAGGUAGAACGUAUAGAUAAUGUCAAUAUCUUCUUUAUAAUUAAGUAUAUCCGCGUGCGAGUUGUGAUAUGUUUAAUAAAAUGAUCAUUUUUUUUAUGUAUUCGUUUGUUAGGUUAGGUCAGUUUCAAAAAGAUCUCGAUUAAGUUUGUAUGAUUUCUUAAUUUCGAAAAUCUGUUUGGACAUUGACAUAUAAAAUUACAAAAAUAUGGUGUUUUCUGAUAGAAAACAAGCAGCUCUACGCCUAUGGGCCGAAAGGGUACUUACAUAUGCACGUUCUUCGUACACGCAUGUACUCAGAAAUGCACGUCGGGGAGUAUACGAAUGUAAGGUAUACGUCAGGCUCACUGUCAGUGUCGUAUCUUUGCAUUGACAUGAUGGACGGUCGACGUGAAAUUAACAAUGUUAUCCGGUCAUUAAUCCGUACGUGCAUGUACAACGUGACCGUCCAAAGCCUAUUAAUUAAAUUAGGUCUAUCUAGGUCCCUUUAGAUUGCCGUCUAUAUCUUGGAUGCCUCGGGUUAUUCUACUCGAUUACCUUAGCUUUCUCUCUACCUUCCUCCCUCUCUCUCUCUCUCUCUCUCU